rnacentral:rRNA from 1 species
UCGGUUUUAGAAGGGCUCACGGCCUAUCAGCUUCGUUCGGUGAGGUAAUCGGCUUACCAAGGCGAACGACAGGUAGCCGGCCUGAGAGGGUGACCGGCCACACUGGGACUGAGACACGGCCCAGAACUCCUACGGGAGGCAGCAGUGGGGAAUAUUUGCACAAUGGGCGCAAGCCUGAUGCAGCGACGCCGCGUGAGGGAUGACGGCCUUCGGGUUUGUAAACCUCUGUUAGCAUCGAAGAAGCGAAAGUGACGGUAGGUGCAGAAAAAGCGCCGGCUAACUACGUGCCAGCAGCCGCGGUAAUACGUAGGGCGCGAGCGUUGUCCGGAAUUAUUGGGCGUAAAGAGCUUGUAGGCGGUUGGUCGCGUCUGCUGUGAAAGGCUGGGGCUUAACCCUGGUUUUGCAGUGGGUACGGGCUAACUAGAGUGCAGUAGGGGAGACUGGAAUUCCUGGUGUAGCGGUGGAAUGCGCAGAUAUCAGGAGGAACACCGAUGGCGAAGGCAGGUCUCUGGGCUGUAACUGACGCUGAGAAGCGGAAGCAUGGGGAGCGAACAGGAUUAGAUACCCUGGUAGUCCAUGCCGUAAACGUUGGGCACUAGGUGUGGGGGACAUUCCACGUUUUCCGCGCCGUAGCUAACGCAUUAAGUGCCCCGCCUGGGGAGUACGGCCGCAAGGCUAAAACUCAAAGAAAUUGACGGGGGCCCGCACAAGCGGCGGAGCAUGCGGAUUAAUUCGAUGCAACGCGAAGAACCUUACCAAGGCUUGACAUAUACUGGACUGCGUCAGAGAUGGCGUUUCCCUUCGGGGCUGGUAUACAGGUGGUGCAUGGUUGUCGUCAGCUCGUGUCGUGAGAUGUUGGGUUAAGUCCCGCAACGAGCGCAACCCUCGUUCUAUGUUGCCAGCACGUGAUGGUGGGGACUCAUAGGAGACUGCCGGGGUCAACUCGGAGGAAGGUGGGGAUGACGUCAAAUCAUCAUGCCCCUUGUGUCUUGGGCUUCACGCAUGCUACAAUGGCCGGUACAGAGGGUUGCGAUACUGUGAGGUGGAGCUAAUCCCUAAAAGCCGGUCUCAGUUCGGAUUGGGGUCUGCAAACUCGACCCCUUGAAGUUCGGAGUCGCUAGUAAUCGCAGAUCAGCAACGCUGCGGUGAAAUACGUUUCCCGGGCCUUGUACACACC